rnacentral:rRNA from 1 species
UACGAAGGGGGCUAGCGUUGCUCGGAAUCACUGGGCGUAAAGGGUGCGUAGGCGGGUCUUUAAGUCAGGGGUGAAAUCCUGGAGCUCAACUCCAGAACUGCCCUUGAUACUGAGGAUCUUGAGUUCGGGAGAGGUGAGUGGAACUGCGAGUGUAGAGGUGAAAUUCGUAGAUAUUCGCAAGAACACCAGUGGCGAAGGCGGCUCACUGGCCCGAUACCGACGCUGAGGCACGAAAGCGUGGGGAGCAAACAGG